rnacentral:rRNA from 1 species
CGGAAGCCUGACGGAGCAAUACCGCGUGAGGGAGGAAGGCUCUUGGGUUGUAAACCUCUUUUCUCAAGGAAUAAGAUCUGAAGGUACUUGAGGAAUCAGCAUCGGCUAACUCCGUGCCAGCAGCCGCGGUAAUACGGAGGAUGCAAGCGUUAUCCGGAAUGAUUGGGCGUAAAGCGUCCGCAGGUGGCAUUGUAAGUCUGCUGUUAAAGAGUGAGGCUUAACCUCAUAAAAGCAGUGGAAACUACAAAGCUAGAGUGCGUUCGGGGCAGAAGGAAUUCCUGGUGUAGCGGUGAAAUUCGUAGAGAUCAUGAAGAACACCGGUGGCGAAGGCGUUCUGCUAGGCCGAAACUGACACUGAGGGACGAAAGCUAGGGGAGCG